rnacentral:misc_RNA from 1 species
GAUGAAGAACGCAGCGAAAUGCGAUAAGUAGUGUGAAUUGCAGAAUUCAGUGAAUCAUCGAAUCUUUGAACGCACAUUGCGCCUGCCAGCACUCUGGCAGGCAUGCCUGUUCGAGCGUCAUUUCAACCAUCAAGCCCUAGGCUUGCGUUGGAGCCCUGCGGCUGCCGCAGGCCCCUAAAAGCAGUGGCGGGCUCGCUAUCACACCGAGUGCAGUAGAUUACUCUUCGCUCAGGGCGUGUGGCGGGUUCCAGCCGUGAAACCCCCUACUUCUCAAGGUUGACCUCGGAUCAGGUAGGAAUACCCGCUGAACUUAAGCAUAUCAAUAAGCGGAGGA